rnacentral:rRNA from 1 species
UACGCAGGGUGCGAGCGUUAAUCGGAAUUACUGGGCGUAAAGCGUGCGCAGGCGGUUUUGUAAGUCAGAUGUGAAAUCCCCGGGCUUAACCUGGGAACUGCGUUUGAAACUACAAGGCUAGAGUGUGGCAGAGGGGGGUGGAAUUCCACGUGUAGCAGUGAAAUGCGUAGAGAUGUGGAGGAACACCGAUGGCGAAGGCAGCCCCCUGGGUUAACACUGACGCUCAGGCACGAAAGCGUGGGGAGCAAACAGG